AGCAGCCAUCCUUUAAAGAAAGCGUAACAGCUCACUGGUCUAAUUAAGAGAUCCUGCACCGAAAAUGUAACGGGGCUCAAAUCAUUUACCGAAGCUUUGACAAUUACUUUGUAAUUGGGUAGCGGAGCGUUCUGUAAGCCUGUAAAGGUGAUGCGUAAGCAUUGCUGGAGGUAUCAGAAGUGCGAAUGCUGACAUGAGUAACGAUAAGAAAUGUGAAAGACAUUUCCGCCGAAAUCCUAAGGUUUCCUGCGUAAAGCUAAUCUGCGCAGGGUUAGUCGGCCCCUAAGGCGAGGGCGAAAGCCGUAGUCGAUGGGAAGCAGGUUAAUAUUCCUGCACCAGCUGGUAGUGACGGAUGAAGUAAAUUGUAAGUUCUUACUGGAUUGAGCUUGCAGUGAAUUUGUCCCUGGAAAUAGCUCCAGCAUUAGACCGUACCAAAACCGACACAGGUAGGAGGGUAGAGAAUACCAAGGCGCUUGAGAGAACUAUGUUGAAGGAACUCGGCAAAUUACACUUGUAACUUCGGGAUAAAAGUGACCUGCUAUUGGGCAACCAGUAGGAGGUGGCACAGAAGAGGGGGUAGCGACUGUUUACUAAAAACAUAGCACUAUGCAAAGUCGAAAGACGACGUAUAUGGUGUGACGCCUGCCCGGUGCCGGAAGGUUAAUAGGAGGGGUGCAAGCCCUGAAUUGAAGCCCCGGUGAACGGCGGCCGUAACUAUAACGGUCCUAAGGUAGCGAAAUUCCUUGUCGGGUAAGUUCCGACCUGCACGAAUGGCGUAACGAUUUCCCCACUGUCUCCAACAUAGACUCAGUGAAAUUGAAUUCUCGGUUAAGAUGCCGAGUAACCGUGGUUAGACGGAAAGACCCCGUGCACCUUUACUGCAGCUUUGUAUUGGUAUUAGGGAACAGAUGUGUAGCAUAGGUGGGAGACUUUGAAGGAGUGGCGCUAGCCAUUCUGGAGUCACUAGUGAAAUACCACUCUUCUGUUCCUUGAUGCCUAACCAUACACCGUUAUCCGGUGUUGGGACCAUGCAUGGUGGGCAGUUUGACUGGGGCGGUCGCCUCCCAAAGAGUAACGGAGGCGCGCGAUGGUAGGCUCAGAACGCUUGGAAACCGUUCGUCGAGUGCAAUGGCAUAAGCCUGCCUGACUGCGAGACCCACAAGUCGAGCAGAGACGAAAGUCGGUCAUAGUGAUCCGGUGGCACUUCGUGGAAGGGCCAUCGCUCAACGGAUAAAAGGUACGCCGGGGAUAACA
rnacentral:rRNA from 1 species